ensembl:lncRNA
AAAUUUAUUAUUAUUAUCAGAAGGGAAAGUACUAAAAACAAUUAUGGUGUGUUUUGUGAAAUAUCUUCUAACCUCAGUAACUAAAUGUCAACUUGUAUGAUUUAUCCUGAGCAGCAGGGGGUGCUAAACUGUCAACACUGACAAUGUCUCCUGUGUGGAUGAUGAUACUGUGGAAUACUUUUCUGUUUUGGUGAGGUCCAGUUAGGCAGACCAUCACCAGUGUUCUCUUCUGACCUAUAGUGUAUUUCCCUCCUGCGUUUUCUUUUACUGUACACUUUAAGAAAUGAUUACUCACUCUGAGACACAAUGUCAGGUCAGGUGGUGUUACCUGCUACUGGUACGAUGUAACCCAGCACAACCUGCCGCAUUGAAAAUGGGUAGCUGGUUUACCCAGGACUCAACAGUCACUGGCCAACCAUCAGACAUGGAGUGGGGCCCUAUGUAUAUGUUAGGCGUAAAGUUGACAUUCCAACUUAAUGCUAGCCCAAAUCGCAGACGUAUUGGCCAUGCCUCUCCUCUGAUUAAGAUGUACUGCAGGUGAGAGAAGCACUUGACAAGUACGAGGACAACCCCAGUUGCUUUAAACGUCCUGGCUAGAAGAUCAGCCCUAUAAAACCUAGCUGAUCAUCUUCUGCGUAGUCGGCAACAACUGAAGCGGGCCUGAACAAACUCACUCUGAGACACUCGUUGGCUUAGUUUUUCCAUUUGCACUUGUCUGUUAGUUACUUCUGUUUGUUGCUAUUGUGUCUUUAAGGUUGGUUAAGGAGUUUAGUAUUUUCAUUGUUAUUUUGUCUUAGCAAGUUUUCUAACUCUGUUAGCCCUUGUUUGGUUUUAUUUGGUUCUUUGAUUUGGUAACAACCUCGGAAUUGUCUGUAGGUGUGAAUGUGAGUGUGAUUGUCUCUACGUGUAGCCCUGUGAUAGACUGUUACCUGUCCAGGUGAACCUGUGAUAGACUGUUAGCUGUCCAAGUGAACCUGUGAUAGACUGUUACCUGUCCAAGUGAACCUGUGAUAGACUGUUACCUAUCCACGUGAACCUGUGAUAGAAUGUUACCUGUCCAGGUGAACCUUCACCCUCAGUUAGCUGGGAUAGACUCCAGCCCCCCAUUACCCUGAUGAGGAUUAAGUGGUAUAUAAAUAAUGGAUGGAUGGAUUUGUUAACAUCUUUGUAGCAUCAUCACCUUUUAUUUUGUUAAUUAUGUCGCUAAACAAUAAAUUGAGUUUCAUACCAUGAACACCUGGUUUUUGUUAUCUUUCUUGCUCCCCCUAGAAAUCUGG